UACGUAGGGUCCGAGCGUUGUCCGGAUUUAUUGGGCGUAAAGAGCUCGUAGGCGGUUCCGUAAGUCAGAUGUGAAAACUCAGGGCUCAACCCGGAGACGCCAUCUGAUACUGCGGUGACUGGAGUCUGGUAGGGGAUCACGGAAUACCUGGUGUAGCGGUGAAAUGCGCAGAUAUCAGGUGGAACACCGGUGGCGAAGGCGGAUCUCUGGGCCAUUACUGACGCUGAGGAGCGAAAGCGUGGGGAGCGAACAGG
rnacentral:rRNA from 1 species